UGAUGGAUGUCACCACUGUA
rnacentral:siRNA from 1 species